rnacentral:tmRNA from 1 species
GGUUUCGACGGGGUCGUUGAGACUGGGGAAGCGGGUAGAGGAUCCUCGUCGGCCUCUUAAAAAAACGAGGAACUUUUAUAAUUGCCAAUAAACCGGCACUCGUAGCUGCUUAAUUAGCUACCGUCAGCCCGCUCGAUCUGCUGAGCGGAUCACUGGCGUCAGAUAGCAGACCUCGUACGCAGGCAGGUUAAGCGUAAAAACGGUUCAGCCUAAGCUUUGCAGCUGAAUUGUAUAUAUGAAGCUACCGGACUGCAUAGCCUGUCAAUGAGCGCUGCAGAAGGGGAAUACUCCAUUCAUUGACUGCACCCGGAGAUGCUCCAGAGGAUAAGGUUUCGGACAGGGGUUCGACUCA